rnacentral:misc_RNA from 1 species
GCUCGUUAUCUUCGUUAUUACGUCAUUUGCAAAAACCACUCUGCAUGCCCGUUGCAACAGGACCGCGCAACAAGCUCGCGAUAAUAAUUGUAAUAAUUUCGAUAAAAGUUUACGAGCUCGAGAGAGAGAGAGGGCAGGAAGAGAGAGAGAGAAAGAGAGAAAGAACGGGCGCGGUUCCGAUAGAUCGGGAACGGGACUGAAAUUAAAAAUGACGAACUCAUUCGAAUGGUACCGCACACGCGUUAAUACGUCGGACUCGAAUGUCUCGUAUUAAAAGCACAACGAAACGCCCAUUAUUAAAACGGGAAAACGAGCAAUAAGAAUAAACGGCGAGCAAAAUAAAGAAACAAAAAGGAGGGAAAAA